rnacentral:rRNA from 1 species
UACGAAGGGGGCUAGCGUUGUUCGGAAUUACUGGGCGUAAAGCGCACGCAGGCGGUGUGAUCAGUCAGAAGUGAAAGCCCUGGGCUCAACCCGGGAAUUGCUUUUGAUACUGUCACGCUAGGAUCCGUGAGAGGACAGUGGAAUUCCAAGUGUAGAGGUGAAAUUCGUAGAUAUUUGGAAGAACACCAGUGGCGAAGGCGACUGUCUGGCACGGUAUCGACGCUCAUGUGCGAAAGCGUGGGGAGCAAACAGGAUUAGAUACCCUGGUAGUCCACGCUGUAAACGAUGAGAGCUAGAUGUCGGGGUCUUAAGAUCUCGGUGUCGUAGUUAACGCGUUAAGCUCUCCGCCUGGGGAGUACGGUCGCAAGAUUA